AGAAUGCCUUUGAUGAUUAUCAAAUGGCCUUUGACGCACAUGACUGAGGAAGGAGUCUCUGAGCUUGAGGUUAUCUCAAUAGAAAUCUCCAAAACUGAAAAGCAAACAGAAAAAAGACACUGAAAACCAGAACCGAAUAUCCAAGGACUGCGGGACAACUACAAAAGAUUUACCCAGAACAAGCUUAACCCUAGUGGAUUUUGUACUCAUUGCCUGUAUCAGUAUCUUCUGAUACCAACAUCAGGCCUGCGGAACUGGAAUCGUUCAAUUUGCAGAAGCAUAAAGAGAGAAAGCACAACCUUCUGCUGCAAUUCUUUAUGAACUGUGUCAAACUGCAAAGCUGGUGAUUUUCUUGAACACGAGGAAAUAAUUUUGCAAUCCCAUCUAGAGAACAGAGAAGACUGGAGCAUAGUUCUUCACCAUGCAGUACUUAAAAGAGAUUCAAAUUAUCCAAGCAGAUGCCAAAAUAAACAUUAGUAUGAACAGGACUUAAAUGUAUAUCUCAAGAAGAGAUUUCAACUGGAUUCACCACACUAGAAAUGAUCUACUUAAAAGUACACAUCAAUUAAAAUACAUUUACAGUGCUGCCAGUGCAAAUCAUUUUUUCUUACUCUCAACAAUGUGGGUUUUUUUUUUGAAGAAAAUCGAUAUUAGAGUGCUAGCACAUAUAACAACUUUCAACACAAGAGUAACUUCUACAGAUAACUGUGGCUCAUGAACUUGUAGGACAGACAGAUGGUCAUUCUCAGAUAUGAUCCUACUGCUUGUGUCAGCAGUAUUUGAUGCAUAGUGUCACUUCCUCCUGGAAACAUUCUUCACUUGGCUGCUAAGACACAUUAUCUUUGUUUUCUUUCUCUAUUACUGGCCUUUUCUUUUAGUUCUCUUCGAAUUCCUUCUAUCCAGCUUCUAAAUCUUUUCUGUCUGCACUCAAUUUCCAGGUGACCUGAUCCAGCUUCAUGGUUUUAAGUGCCAUCUAUAUACUCCUAACUCCCAAAGUUGUAUCUAAAACUAGGACCUCUCCCCUGACCUCUAGAUUCUUCCAUCGUUAAUAUCUUCACAUAGAUAUACAAUAGACAUCUGAAACUUAACACACUGAAUCAAACCACUUUGCAUACCUCUAAGGCCACCCACUUGGUUCAAACUCGCAUAAUCUUUCACCUGCAUUUGUUUCUUUGUUCCACUCUGUCUGACUUCAUCUCCCGCUACUUUUGUUCACUCUGCUCCAGCCACACUUUUCUCCUUGGUUUUCUUUAAACACGCCUAAUUCAUUCUUUCCUCAGAAUUUUGCUCUAGUUAUUCUACCUGGAACCCUGGGACAUAGCUAUCUUCAUGGAACUCUCCCUCUCUUCUUGCAAACCUUUUCUUAAAUGUUAAAUACUUCAUCAACCCUAUCCUGACUACUCCUUUUAAACUGCAAGCUGCCCAUGCCCAACCACUCCCAAUCCCCAUGCCAUGCCCUCUUUUCUUCCAGAGCAUUUGUUGUCUACUAUACUAUAUCAUUUACACGUUGUGUUUUUCAUCUAUCUCCAUCCACUAGAAUACAAGCUCCAUAGAGAUGUGAUUUUCAUC